GCACCGCCGACCGACCUU
rnacentral:siRNA from 1 species